rnacentral:rRNA from 1 species
AUACGAAGGGGGCUAGCGUUGUUCGGAAUUACUGGGCGUAAAGCGCGCGUAGGCGGACUGAUCAGUUGGGGGUGAAAUCCCAGGGCUUAACCCUGGAACUGCCUCCAAUACUGUCAGUCUUGAGUUCGGGAGAGGUGAGUGGAAUUCCUAGUGUAGAGGUGAAAUUCGUAGAUAUUAGGAAGAACACCAGUGGCGAAGGCGGCUCACUGGCCCGAUACUGACGCUGAGGCGCGAAAGCGUGGGGAGCGAACAGGAUUAGAAACCCUAGUAGUCC